GAUGAAGAACGUAGCGAAAUGCGAUAAGUAAUGUGAAUUGCAGAAUUCAGUGAAUCAUCGAAUCUUUGAACGCACAUUGCGCCCCUUGGUAUUCCGCGGGGCAUGCCUGUUCGAGCGUCAUUAUAACCCCUCAAGCUCAGCUUGGUGUUGGGGCCUGCUGCACUGGCAGCCCUUAAAAUCAGUGGCGGCGCCAUCUGGCUCUAAGCGUAGUAAUUCUUCUCGCUAUGGAGUCCUGGUGGAUGCUUGCCAUCAACCCCCAAUUUUUCUAUGGUUGACCUCGGAUCAGGUAGGGAUACCCGCUGAACUUAAGCAUAUCAAUAAGCGGAGGA
rnacentral:misc_RNA from 1 species